GAUCAUGGCUCAGAUUGAACGCUGGCGGCAGGCUUAACACAUGCAAGUCGAACGGUAACAUGUAAAGAAGCUUUGCUUCUUUGAUUGACGAGUGGCGGACGGGGUGAGUAAUGGCUUGGGAAUCUAGCUUAUGGAGGGGGAUAACUACGGGAAACUGUAGCUAAUACCGCGUAGUAUCGAGAGAUGAAAGUGUGGGACCUUCGGGCCACAUGCCAUAGGAUGAGCCCAAGUGGGAUUAGG
rnacentral:rRNA from 1 species